rnacentral:lncRNA from 1 species
AUCUCACCAGCCCUCUUCCUUCUUUCUGACUUGAAACUUUAUUUCCUGCCAAGGAGUCCCUUACGAAGAAGCCAGUGGACCAGAGGUGAGACAGGAUGCACAGGUUCCAUUCCAACAAUCUGAAAUAGAUCCAUCUGGUCCAUGAUGGCACUAGCUGCUCUGGUGGGUUGUCACACUUCAGAUCUAAGGAGUUCUAUCACUAACUGGCACAAGGACUCCCUAGGCUGGAAACAAAUGGGCUUCACCCUACCUGUUCUAUAUAGGGGCCCCAUUGACCUUGCUGGCCAGGACAGGUGCGAUGGGGUGCACACUGUGGUAGGGAAGCUCUAGCAGACACAGGAAACACCUAGCCAGGCUUCGAGUCCAUUCUAGCCUUGCAGAGAAGGCUUCAAGUCUCUUGGCUCACAGCACUUCUCAGAACACCAUUCCCCGCUUUGGGACAUGACUACCAGCCAAAAAGCAGCUCCAACCCCAGCUUUGGACACUGUUUUAGCUAGUGGGUCCUUGUCCUCAUUGUGCCCUGGGCAUGGUAGAAGCAACCAAGUGACAGUGGCAUUGGUGUUCUAAGUAAGGGAGGGAAGGCCUUCCCGGGAAAGCAAUGGGGAUGCCACAAGGGUGAGGUCACAAGCCCAGUGAGAGAGGACCAGGAAGCUCUUAAGUGAUCAGUGAGUCACAAGCAGACAGUCUCAACCUCAGCAUUUCUGUCCCAGGCCCUGACCCUGCUUCUAACUUAGGAGACAGCUCUACCUUUGAGGGUGGGGAUAAAAAAUCUGGGACCAAACUUGGGGCCUGCUUGGGGGCCUGAUGGGGCUUGGAUCAUCUGAAAGCCAUCACCAUAGGUUGAAGACUAGACUUAAGACAGGAUAAUGCCAGGAGAAGGACAAAGGGCAGCCAGGUCUUCAUGAAUGCUCCAACACUGCUGUACUUCAUUGAAAUUCUUUAGCUCAAUUUCACAUUUAUGAGGUAAAUUCAUUCUCAUUACUGUAGUAAGUGAAUAUGCCUUGUUUUAUCCAUUUUUAUUAUUGAUGGACAUUUCAUGUUUAAUAGUUUUUCUUUUGUGGAUACUUUUACACUAUUGUAUUUGUUUUAGGUGGAUGCAUUUGUGACUUUUCCUGGUUAUAUAAUUGAGAGAAGAAUUAUUAGGCUAUGGUAUAUGUAGGCUAUGUUUUAGUUGAAGUGGAAACUUCUGGUUUCUUUGGAAAGUCAGUUGUGUUGGAUGGUGUUUUCCUGAAGCAGACACAGAUGAAAGGAUGUUCUGCUAAAGUAAGCAGGUGAGAGGGAUACUUUGCUGACAACACACAUGUAUUGAUUCGCCUUACAUGCUUUGUAGAGCUCCAUUUGUGGGGACUCCAUAGAGAGAAACGCACCACUUCUGCGGACUCAGGCUGGUUGGCAGAGUGAUGUCAGCUAUUAUAUCACUGUUGAGUUUUGCUAAGACAAACUCAUGUGCUGAGGCAAGACCUGUGGAGGAUAUGUGGUGUUUGGAGGGAGUAUAAAUAGGACCCAACAGACACUGACAGGGGCUUGGCUUGCUUGCAUAGCUAGCUUUACAAUGCUUCUUGGUCUUGUGUCUUCGCUGAUCUCUACUGAGAGAGGCACAGCCUAGAACUUCUGGCGUCCCUGGUGGUCCUGGGCCCUCCUGCUGACUCCUGCUGAGGCCUGCUGUCUCUGCUAGGUCAGGCAUGCCACCUCUGCUGAUUUGCUAUCCCAACACUACUGAACUGCUGGUGUAUCCGUGAGAGUGUCUGCAAGUGGAUCGAGCUGCUGCUGCUUACCUGUGAACUGAACUGCUGGUUCCUGACAGUGCAGAUGGGAUUUGCUCUAAACAGCAAUUUCUAAACAGCCCCCCCACCCCCAUCCUAAUAACAUUUCUUUUCCACUACCUCAUUUAAGAACCAUCAUUAAAAGUAGGUCUUUGAAAAAUUCAAAACUACAUUUUAGUAGAUACUUCUGAAGCAAAUUUGCACUUCUGUCAGUACUCCAUGUGUUUGUUUUUCUAGAUGCUUGUCAACAUUAGAUAUUUGUGCUGGCUAGUUUAAUGUCAACUUGACACAGGCUAGAAUCAUUGGAGAGAUAAGAACUUCAAUUGAAAAAUGCCUCCUUAAGAUUUCACCGUAGAUAUAGAUAUAAAUUAC